CUGGCGGCGUGCCUAAUACAUGCAAGUAGAACGCUGAAGAGAGGAGCUUGCUCUUCUUGGAUGAGUUGCGAACGGGUGAGUAACGCGUAGGUAACCUGCCUUGUAGCGGGGGAUAACUAUUGGAAACGAUAGCUAAUACCGCAUAACAAUGGAUGACACAUGUCAUUUAUUUGAAAGGGGCAAUUGCUCCACUACAAGAUGGACCUGCGUUGUAUUAGCUAGUAGGUGAGGUAAUGGCUCACCUAGGCGACGAUACAUAGCCGACCUGAGAGGGUGAUCGGCCACACUGGGACUGAGACACGGCCCAGACUCCUACGGGAGGCAGCAGUAGGGAAUCUUCGGCAAUGGGGGCAACCCUGACCGAGCAACGCCGCGUGAGUGAAGAAGGUUUUCGGAUCGUAAAGCUCUGUUGUAAGUCAAGAACGGGUGUGAGAGUGGAAAGUUCACACUGUGGACGGUAGCUUACCAGAAAGGGACGGCUAACUACGUGCCAGCAGCGCGGUAAUACGUAGGUCCCGAGCGUUGUCCGGGAUUUAUUGGGCGUAAAGCGAGCGCAGGCGGUUUGAUAAGUCUGAAGUUAAAGGCUGUGGCUCAACCAUAGUUCGCUUUGGAAACUGUCAAACUUGAGUGCAGAAGGGGAGAGUGGAAUUCCAUGUGUAGCGGUGAAAUGCGUAGAUAUAUGGAGGAACACCGGUGGCGAAAGCGGCUCUCUGGUCUGUAACUGACGCUGAGGCUCGAAAGCGUGGGGAGCGAACAGGAUUAGAUACCCUGGUAGUCCACGCCGUAAACGAUGAGUGCUAGGUGUUGGAUCCUUUCCGGGAUUCAGUGCCGCAGCUAACGCAUUAAGCACUCCGCCUGGGGAGUACGACCGCAAGGUUGAAACUCAAAGGAAUUGACGGGGGCCCGCACAAGCGGUGGAGCAUGUGGUUUAAUUCGAAGCAACGCGAAGAACCUUACCAGGUCUUGACAUCCCGAUGCUAUUUCUAGAGAUAGAAAGUUACUUCGGUACAUCGGUGACAGGUGGUGCAUGGUUGUCGUCAGCUCGUGUCGUGAGAUGUUGGGUUAAGUCCCGCAACGAGCGCAACCCCUAUUGUUAGUUGCCAUCAUUCAGUUGGGCACUCUAGCGAGACUGCCGGUAAUAAACCGGAGGAAGGUGGGGAUGACGUCAAAUCAUCAUGCCCCUUAUGACCUGGGCUACACACGUGCUACAAUGGUUGGUACAACGAGUUGCGAGUCGGUGACGGCGAGCUAAUCUCUUAAAGCCAAUCUCAGUUCGGAUUGUAGGCUGCAACUCGCCUACAUGAAGUCGGAAUCGCUAGUAAUCGCGGAUCAGCACGCCGCGGUGAAUACGUUCCCGGGCCUUGUACACACCGCCCGUCACACCACGAGAGUUUGUAACACCCGAAGUCGGUGAGGUAACCUUUUGGAGCCAGCCGCCUAAGGUGGGACAGAUGAUUGGGGUGAAGUCGUAACA
rnacentral:rRNA from 1 species